rnacentral:rRNA from 1 species
CAGUCGCCGCGGUAAAACGUAGGGUGCAAGCGUUAAUCGGAAUUACUGGGCGUAAAGCGUGCGCAGGCGGUUUGUUAAGUCUGUUGUGAAAUCCCCGGGCUCAACCUGGGAAUGGCAAUGGAUACUGGCAAGCUAGAGUGUGUCAGAGGAUGGUGGAAUUCCCGGUGUAGCGGUGAAAUGCGUAGAGAUCGGGAGGAACAUCAGUGGCGAAGGCGGCCAUCUGGGACAACACUGACGCUGAGGCACGAAAGCGUGGGGAGCAAACAGGAUUAGAUACCCCGGUAGUCCCUGUCUCUUAUAC